rnacentral:rRNA from 1 species
GAUGAACGCUGGCGGCGUGCCUAAUACAUGCAAGUCGAGCGAACGGACGAGAAGCUUGCUUCUCUGACGUUAGCGGCGGACGGGUGAGUAACACGUGGAUAACCUACCUAUAAGACUGGGAUAACUUCGGGAAACCGUAGCUAAUACCGGAUAAUAUAUUGAACCGCAUGGUUCAAUAGUGAAAGACGGUCUUGCUGUCACUUAUAGAUGGAUCCGCGCUGCAUUAGCUAGUUGGUAAGGUAACGGCUUACCAAGGCAACGAUGCAUAGCCGACCUGAGAGGGUGAUCGGCCACACUGGAACUGAGACACGGUCCAGACUCCUACGGGAGGCAGCAGUAGGGAAUCUUCCGCAAUGGGCGAAAGCCUGACGGAGCAACGCCGCGUGAGUGAUGAAGGUCUUCGGAUCGUAAAACUCUGUUAUUAGGGAAGAACAUAUGUGUAAGUAACUGUGCACGUCUUGACGGUACCUAAUCAGAAAGCCACGGCUAACUACGUG